rnacentral:rRNA from 1 species
AUGGCGGACCUGGUGGGGAGGGCGGUGAGGAAGGCGUUCCCGGGGUUCGGGGUCUUCUCCGGCGUCGUGGAGUCGUACGACGCCGAGGCCGGGUACUUCCGCGUGCUCUACGAGGACGGCGACUCCGAGGAGAUCGACGGGGACGAGAUGGGCUCCAUCCUCGUGGGCGCGCCCAUGCCGCCGCAGUCGGAGACUCCCGGAGGUUCCGCCGGGAAGCGGCCUAAGAAGCGGAGGCGCGGGGACGGGGAGUCCCCGCAGGGGGACGUUUCGGUGGUGGCCGAGGCCGUAGAUGGAGAUGGACUGGCAAACGGGCCCGUGCCUGUGCUUGCAACGCCGGCGAAGGGGGGAGGAGGGGGUGGGGAAAAUGGGGAGGCCAUGGCGGAGACGGCGGGGAAGAAGCGGAAGGUUGGCCCUAGCCCAGUUCGUCGGAGCGCGAGGCAAGCGAAGGCCGCGGCAUUGGCGGCUGAAAUGGAGGCUGCCGCUAAUGUUGCCGCUGCUGCCGAGGCUGCCGAGACUUCAUCCGCCGAGGAUGUGGCUCCAGCUCCGAUUGCUGCUACGCCGCAGCAGUCUGGGAGGAAGCGUCAGCCUGCAAAUGGGAGCGGUCGGUCUCGCUCAGUCGCGAGGGAUUUAGAGGAUGCUGCGCUGGAUAGGCUGCUGCAAAAGCCGAACCUGCCACCGUCGUCGCAGGGCCUGAAUUUGGAAGGCCUCCCUGUUAUGGAUGUCUUUCAAGUCUACUCCUGCUUGAGAUCAUUUAGCAAGCAGCUUUUCCUAAGCCCGUUUGCACUGGAGACAUUUGUCGCAGCGCUGCGGUGUAAGCACGUGAACCCCUUGAUAGACUGGGUGCAUUUUGCUUUGCUCCGCUCUCUGAAGAACCACUUACAAGAUCUGGCCCAUGAAGGAGACCCUCCAGCAAUACACUGUAUUAGGAAUCUUAACUGGGAACUCUUAGACCUAGCAACUUGGCCAAUCUAUCUUGCCGAGUACUUACUGACUCGUGGUUCAGAACUGAGGUAUGGUAUGAAGCUUACAGAUCUAAAGCUGUUAGAUACAGAGUACUAUUGGCAGCCAGCAACAGUAAAACUCGAGCUACUACGCUCACUCUGCGAUGAUGUUAUUGAGAUUGAGGCUAUACGUGCUGAACUUGGUUUAAGGAUGUCUGAGUUUGAUGGAAAUGAUGAGGGCAGUAGAGCUACUGGUUCAAGAAGAAAAAAGAGAGGUUCUUCUGUCAUGGCCCUAGCAGAUUCUUCUCAGCCUCCAGAAGGCUCUGAUGAUAUGGAUGAUGGUAACAGUGACGAAUGUUAUCUGUGUGGUAUGGAUGGCAACCUGUUAUGCUGCGAUGGCUGUCCUUCAGCUUUUCACUCAAAAUGUGUGGGGGUGGUGGAGGACCUAUUGCCUGAAGGAGAAUGGCAUUGUCCCGAGUGUUCGAUGCAGAAGUACAACGGAUCCAGAAAUAUGGCAAAGCUUGUCAGAGGAGCAGAGGUUCUGGGAAGUGAUCCACAUGGACGACUAUACUUUGGCACCUGCGGCUAUCUUUUGGUGGUUGAUUCAUGUGAUCCAGACUCUCCAUGCCAUUAUUAUGGCCAGAUGGAUCUUCAUUCCCUUAUUACAGUGUUAACUCCAUGUCAUCCGUCUUACAAUCCGAUCCUAAAUGUGAUCUCUUUGUUUCGGGGUAUUGCAACUGAAACAUCUAAUAUUAACGGGCGAUAUGAGAACAGCAAGGAAUGUAGUACCUCGGACCAUGAAACAGACCACAGGCAGUCAUCACUGAAACAACCUAGUGAGCAUGUACUGUAUACCGUAGAAAAGCAUGGCUCUCAACAAUUGGAUACCGGGAAAAUUUGCACCUCAAAUUCAGAUCAGGAUGCCUCACACCAGAGUUAUACCCUGAGACGUGCGUCAAUUUCUCAAAACGGCAAUGAAACUACUGCUAAUGAGAAGCCCAAUCAAACUCCACAACCUAAUGCCUCUGGUGCCAACAAGGAUAGCUGCAGUUCUAAGCAAGAUGAUGUUGGCUUACAUGUUAAUGGUUUGUCUGCAGAGGACCAGAAAGAUGCAUCACCUCAAAAAGAAGCAAGUAACUGCUGUCUCCGUUCUGGGAAUGCUAUGUAUAUAAACUACUACAGUUUCGGUCAAAUAGCAGCAUCGGCCGCUGGAGAGUUAAAGGACAAGCUUUUAGAGAAUGAGGAAGGAAAGAAGCAUGGCCCGGAUGCAGUUUCUUUUCGGCUAAAAACAAUAUGUAAGAAAUAUGUUAAUGUUUUUGCACUGACUGAUCAAAAGUUAUCUGUGGAUCUCCUAAAGGAAAAAUGUGGCUGGUGCAACUCCUGCCAAAUCAGUGGUGGUAGUGAUUGCAUUUUCAGAUUUACUGAUGGUAAGUGUAUGGAGAGUACUAAGCCAUGUGCUGUUGGUCCUUUGUCAGAAAAGAACGAGGAAAGUCAUAUUGUCCUUGCUACACAUAGCAUGUUGUCAAUUGAAAAACGCCUGAAUGGUUUGCUGUCUGGUCCAUGGCAAAAUCCACAAUAUAGCAUGUAUUGGCGUAAGGCAGUUCUUAUGGCUUCAGAUGUAUCAUCACUGAAGCAGCCUCUUCUCACGUUAGAGUCCAGUCUGCGACGUGUUGCCUUCUCAGGAGAAUGGCAAAAACCAGCAGACUCUGUUGAAGUUGUUGGGUCUGCAGCCCAUAUCUUGGUCCGUACAUCUAAUAAGUCUGCAGGUUAUGCAAUUGCUAGAAAGCCAGGGAGGAAGCCACUUGCUAUUGAGCUCAAAGUCGACUUCCGUGAUGUUGGUGUUUAUUGGUGGAGGGGUGGAACACUGUCCCGUCAAGUGUUUCACUGGAAGAGGUUGCCUCAGUCAUUGGCCUGCAAAUCUGCUCGGCAAGCGGGACGCAAGAAAAUUCCCACCAUAGUGUAUCCCGAUGGUUCACAAUUUGCCAGGAGGUCCAAAUACAUAGCUUGGCGAGCCGCUGUGGAAAUGGCACAAAAUGUGUCCCAGCUCAUUUUGCAGAUUAAAGAGCUUGAAUUGAAUAUCAAGUGGACUGAGAUAUUGAGCACUCUCUCUUCUGCAAUUGCAACAAAGGAAACCCAGAAAAUAGCAAGGUUUUUCAAGAAAGUUAUAAUUCGCAGAAAACGUAUAGAAGCAACGAAUGUGGAAUAUCUACUUGAUUUUGGAAAGAGGGAGAAUAUUCCUCCUGUUGUUGCUAAACAUGGAGUAAAAUUUGAGGAGCCCUCUAGCGAGAGGAACAGGUAUUGGUUGAGUGAAAGUCAUGUCCCUUUGAGUCUUUUGAGGGCAUAUGAAGCCAAAGCAAUAAAUCGCUCACUUAAAAAGAAAGACAGCGAGGACAGCUCACCUAAAAAGAAGAAAGACACCAAUGACCGCUCACGUAGAAAGAAGAAAGACACCGAUGAUCUUUCUAAGAUGAGUGACUUCAGUCCUGAAAAGCCAAAAAGGUCAAGAUCAGUGUUUGAUGACCUCCUAGAGAAAGCACAAAAAGUAGAGGAAGCACAAAAACUAGAGGAAGCACAAAACCUCCUAGAGAAAGCACAAAAACUUCCCAGCAAGCUUUGCGGUCAGUGUUUCAAAACAGUAACUGCCAGGGAAGCUGUGAACUGCAAAUAUUGUGAAGCACUUUUCCAUAGAAAACAUUUCAACGUUCCUAGAGGUGCUGUGGAUACCGUCUAUGUUUGCAACAAGUGCCUAGCUGAAAAGGUCGAGCCGGUGGUGUCUCCACAGAAAAAGGCAGCAUCAAAGAAGAGCUCUCAGAAAAAGAGCUCUCCGAAAAAGAAGCAGAAGAAGCAACUACGAAAGAGUUUAAGGAGAAGAAAACAGAUAGUUAUCAACCUCAAGAAGAAAACCAGCCAGAAGAAUGGCAAGCCUGGCCGGCCUAGAAAGAAUCCGUUGAGUGUGUCAAAGAAUAAAUCACAAAAGAUGUCUGACAGUCAACCAUCAAACGAAGCCAAGAAUGAACCGGUGAAACGCAUAUCAAAAAGGUUAUAUGAUAAGUACAUGAAAGGCAACUCAGGUAAAUCCGAGCAUACAACAAGCUGUCGUAAGAAGAAGAGGACAGCUUCGCAUUACUCGUACUGGUUAGAUGGUCUUCGAUGGACACAGAACACAGCUGAUGAACAGGCAACCAGUUUUAGGAAAGCAAGAAUUGUUUUUCCAUCUGAAGAUGUGAAGAUUUCAGAAACCAGUCCAGUAUGCUGUCUUUGUAAGAAAUGCUACAGUGGAGAUGCUAUUUAUAUUGCUUGUGAGAAUUGUGAAGAUUGGUUCCAUGGGGAUAUAUAUUCUAUUACCAUAGAAAAUGCCAAUAAUCUCAUAGGCUUCAAGUGUCAUGCAUGCCGUCUGAGAGCUGUUCCUGUUUGUCCAUAUGCACAAGCUGAUGCAAUUCUUAAGGAUCAAUCAGACAGGGAAGAGGCCAUUGAUAGGUCUAUAGAGGACAAGGACAGCAAUUGUUCGAAAGAUCUGUUCACUUCCAAUGAUCUGAAAGUGCUUCACGGUCAUAACAUUGAGGAGCUCCAGAGUCAUAGCAUUGAGGAACGGGUUCCUGAUAGUAUUUGUUUGGAAGUGCUAGAAGAUUAUAAUGAUCUGAAAGAGUCAGGCAGUCAUAGCACUGAGAGAGAGCCAGGCAGUCAUAGCACUGAGAAAGAGCCAGGUAGUCAUAGCACUGAGAAAGAGCUUGAUGAUUGUAAUGGGUUAAAGGAGCUGGAGAGCCAUAACAAUAUGGAAGAACUUGACAGUCACAGCACUGAGAAAGAGCUUGAUGAUUGUAAUGGGUUAAAGGAGCCGGAGAGCCAUAACAAUAUGGAAGAGCUUGACAGUCAUAGUACUGAGAAAGAGCUUGAUGAUUGUAAUGGGUUGAAGGAGCCGGAGAGCCAUAACAACAUGGAAGAGCUUGACAGUCAUAUCACUGAGAGGAGUCCUCAUGAUCAUAAUAAUCUGAAUGAGCUUGACAAUCACUGGGGUGAGAAAAAGCUUGAUGAUUGUAACUGUCUGAGUGAACUUGGCAAUCAUAACAAUGUGAUAGAUCUCAAUGAGAACAGUCCAGAAGAGCUUGGUUGUACUGAAGAUAGCAAAUUUUCUGCAGGGGAAACACAAUGUCUGAAAGAGCUGGACAAACUGAAAGAUCUCGACAAUCUUAACAGUAAAAAAGAGCUUGGUAAUUACAACCGUCUGGACAAGCUUGAUCACCAUAGCAGUCUAAAGGAGCUUGAAAAUCAUAGUAGUGUGGAAGAGCUUGAUAGUCAUGACUACCCAAAAGAGCUUGAUGAUCAGAACCGUCUGAAUGAUCUUGGUAAUCAUAAAAAUCUAAAAGAGCUUCAUAGUGCUCAAAAUGGCCAAGUUACUGCAGUAACACAUACAGAUGGUUUAAUAGAUGAGCAGUUUAACACUAGAAUAUCUAACAAAGAAGCCAUGAUCAUGACAUCCGAAAGUGAUUUGGUGAAGGAAUCUAUUGCUUUACAAUCCAACGGUAGUUCCGUGGAUAAUGUUGUUCCUGCUGAACUGGAGAUGGAUAUUCAGGUUCCCCUGAGCUUAUUGACUUUGUAG